UCAUUGACUGUAUAUAAGAACAGUCAACGAUUUGAGUAAACAUCAUUCAGGAUGCUUUUAUUAUGAAAGGAAUUCCCGGAAGUCAACAUGAUGAGCGAACUUGACAGCUGCUCUAGUGUUCCAGGAAAGUGAGGGAGAAUUCAUGCUUCCUAUGUUUUAGUAGAAGUCGUUAGAGUGAAGGUGUUGACCGAGAUGCCGGCUAGACUGGAUCGGAACCGGAAGUUCUGAAGCCUUUAUUUCCUGUCUUCCCCGUCCCGAUGUCAACACCCCCGUCCCCCAACGUGGCGCUCUCAGAGACCCCUCCAGAGAGGAGCCAGAAGUCCUGACCUCGACCCAGUGAACUCACAGGUGAUUGGCCCGGCCGAGCUGUUUGGGCAACAGAACCACGUUGUGAUGGAUCAGCCAUCUGGGAUCUUGGGGGAAAUACAACCUCAGGAUGUGUCCCCCUCUGAUAUCCCUCCUGUGAUCGACCUGCCCGGGAAGCCAGAGGAAUGCUCCACCGCUCAGGAUGCUCUGCAGUCGGUCAGGAGCUCUAGUUGGUGCCCAAACACCAGUGAUCCUGGAUUGCAGUUCUCAGACAGCAGCUCGUCAGAUAUUGCUAUUCAACCAAGAGAUCAGAAUCAACUGAAUAAUACUUUGUCCCAUACUACAGUCACCCUCUCCUACAUAAGCAGGUCUCACGUGUUCUCCAGUAACUGUGUGUCUCAGCCUUCACCUUUGUUCAACAUACCACCUAUCAGCAAGCUCUCUCUCCACUCCCACUGUGGCUCUGAAAGUCACCUCAGCAUUACUGAUUAUUCAAAGGAGCAGGUUCAAGAGACCAAAUACCUUCCAACACAGAAAGAGCGCUUGUUGCCUCAGGGUCAAGCAGGACAAGCGUGCAGGGCAGGAGGAUGUGUGACACAGCAGUAUCUGGAGUUAAAUGGUGAUGGCUUUAGAAAAGAGUCUGUAUCAGAUGUGGAGAACCAAUGCCGCUUUCUGAAAGACUGCAAGAGUCUGGAAAAUGAUGAUCCUGACAGCCGGUUGCUCUCUGAAGGACAAUCCUCUCCAGUGACUCUGACCUCUGUCACAACAGAGAAGGGUGAGAAUGGGGCCUCUGAGGUGCCCGUCUUUUCUGAGAAGCAGAGCUGCAUGGUGACUUCAGAGAACACAGAUGUUCAGAACUUGUGCAGAGACUAUAGGAGUCCUUUGGAGGACCCUGUUUCCCCUUCCUCUACCUCACUGGAUGGUGUGGAGGAUGUAUUUGUCCUUCCUCAGACCUCCAGUUCUCCCAGUGCUGACAAUUCCCAUCUCGAAACUGCUAACGGGGGGGCAUAUGAUGCAUUGAGCACUGGCAUCAGUGAUGACACCACAGGGCUGGACUCAAGUGAGAAUGAACAGCCUGAUUUUACUGUCAGUGAGUGUAGGUUGGAUGUUUCUGAAAACCACCAGAAUCAUGUCGUUCCACAUGUUAAUGGGAAAGACAAUGUGCUUGAAAAAAGGCUAAAACAAAGGAAGCUUCCAGUACGUGCUGGAAGAGGGGUGCAGCUGGAGAAAAUAGUCAUGGACAUAAAAUCAAGUCCAUCUAAUAUAUCAGGAUGCGCACUCAGCAAUCAAACAAACGGUGCCUCCCAUUCAACUAUAUUCAAUUCCACCAUAAGCAGUCCAAAAGCAAAACGUGUUCCACCCAUUUACAAAACAGAGAGCAAAUCCUCUCGAAAACGACAGGCAUCACAGAUGAAAAGGAGUAGAUCUGGAGAUGUCUCUACCUCUGCUUCUGAACUCAACAAGACAAAAGCAUCCAUCUGCAGUGUAGCCUGGAAACUUCCGCUGGUUGGAAUGGCACAGAAGAAACCUGUUCUUCCACUGCGGACCAGUACCGUCCAGUGCAGGAGGAAAACCCCCCCACAGUCUGGCCUUCAGACUGCUGCCAACAGGAACUCCAAAAGAGCUCCCCAACUGCUUUCCCAGUCUGGGGUUUCAGCAGAAGUCACCGUGCCGAGUCUUUCUUUGCCACAGCCAGAAUCGCCAAAGAACCAGGACAACACCAAAAGCAGGGAAGUCCCCCCCGCUAGCAAGAAAAAAGUGUCCCACACACCAAAACGAAGGCGAAGGAAAACCAAACCAAGCCAUACUUACUCCAUGUUUUCCCCCAAGGAGCCUGAGAUCAAGCUGAAGUAUGUCGGCUACAAGGAGGAGAAAAGGGACUCAAAGUUGGACUUGUUUUCUCCCUUUAUUCGAGUGGAGCAAAAACAGUCGUUGCCGUCACUAUGCUCGGUCAUUAACUACCCAGAGGAGGUGAAGGUGCAGCAGAAGCUGCAGCUGCACACCAACACCUGCGGCUUUGUUUCUGCAGUCAUGCCCAGCACCUCCUGCCUUCACCUGGGUCGGCCGUCCAUCCACAGCCAGCACCAGCGGGCCUUCAUCUGCUGCUUGUGUGGACACCCAGCUAACGCCAUGGACCUGGGUGACCUGCACGGACCGUAUUACCCUGAAGGGCUCAGACCUAGCUCCAAAACAGCCACCAGCACCUCAGGUCUCAAGGAGGAAGAGGAGGAUUUCAGUGACUCGGACUCUUCCUCUUUUGGCAUGAGGGCCAGCAGAAGGAAGUCUGUGGCUCCACACACUCCCUGGUCUGUCAGGAACCAGCUGAAGCAGAACAUGGAGCACCGCCGACGGGCCGGCAAUGGUACCAAAAGCCCUGCAGCUAAGCGAGUUAGAUUAGUGGCUGGCUCUUCAGAUUCGCAGGACUGGUGCAGCCCCCCCAUCUUGCCCCUGGAGCCUUGUGAAUACUGGCUCCACGAGGACUGCAGCAUCUGGUCUGCAGGCGUGUUCCUGGUCAAGGGCAGAGUCUACGGGCUGGAGGAGGCUGUCAAAAUUGCCCAUGAGAUGAUGUGUUCAGGGUGUCAGCAUUCUGGUGCAACACUGGGCUGCAUCUUCAAAGGCUGUCCCAACAAGUACCACUACAGAUGUGCUCUGGAGGCAGACUGCAUGCUCAUUGAAGAAAAUUUCUCCAUGAAGUGCAAAAAGCACAAGAACAAGACGUUGAAAGCCCCUCUAGGGAACCAGUGGAAUGGCAGGUGACACCGACCCUCUGUAGGGUAAGAUGUGAGACAGACUCCAGGAGGUCUCAGUGUCUUAUUGAUUUGUUGAAAGCAGCUUUCUAGGGCCUCCUCCUGUAACCAUGGUAACAGCUAUCAGCCACAAACCUUAACUGGAGGCCCUGCUCUUCAGCUGCACCAUCACCACAAAGCCUCCUCGCUCCCGCCUGCCGGCUCUCUGCAGAAGCACCUUUGGAUUCAUCUUCCACUGGGUUAUUUAUAUGACAUCCUUUUUUUUCUUGGAUUAGAUAAGAAAUAAAAAUCAGAUGUUUAAUUUUGUAAAGAUUUUCUAAUGAAUUACAUUAAGCUUAUUUAUUCUUGAA